rnacentral:ncRNA from 1 species
CUCUAAUAUCAUUUUCGAUGUAUAAAUUCAAGGAUUUAUGCCAAUAAAAUAUUAGAUAUUAAAGAAGUUUAUUCCUUCCUGUUUUGGUAAAAAUGAAUAUAGUUUUAAUGUAAAUCUGGUAGGAAACGAACGAAA